rnacentral:piRNA from 1 species
UGGGAAGCUGAUCCCUCAGGAGCCCGGCCU